AGCAACAGCGGACCAUCUUCAUCAGGGAUUGAAGGUCAUCAUCAAAGGCUUCCUACAGAAAUGCCCUGAAGCUGAGUAAAGAAAGUCAUGCAGGUUUGGAUCGACAUGAGGCAAGACGCAAAUGCAAGAAAACGAUUUUCUGCGGUGAGAUGAGAAGAGCAAAAGGGCGAGAAAGAGGAUGAAAAGAAAAGAAAUGGGUUCCUAGCGCUACAAACACCACUGCUGUGACAGAGUCUUUGAGUCCGAUGGUGCAGCCG